rnacentral:tRNA from 1 species
GGGUCUGUAGUUUAACCUGGACAAAAUAUCCCGCUUCGGACGGGAAGCUCAGGGUUCAAAUCCCUGCAGACCCG